AAUAUUGGACAAUGGGGGCAACCCUGAUCCAGCCAUGCCGCGUGUGUGAAGAAGGUCUUCGGAUUGUAAAGCACUUUAAGUUGGGAGGAAGGGCUUUAGGUUAAUACCCUGAAGUUUUGACGUUACCAACAGAAUAAGCACCGGCUAACUCUGUGCCAGCCGCCGCGGUAAUACAGAGGGUGCAAGCGUUAAACGGAAUUACUGGGCGUAAAGCGCGCGUAGGUGGUUCAGUAAGAUGGGUAUAAAAUCCCCGGGCUUAACCUGGGAACUGCUUUCAUAACUGCUGGGCUAGAGUACGGGAGAGGGUAGUGGAAUUUCCUGUGUAGCGAUGGAAUACGUAGAUAUAGGAAGGAACACCAGUGGCGAAGGCAACUACCUGGACUGAUACUGACACUGAGGUGCGAAAGCGUGGGGAGCAAA
rnacentral:rRNA from 1 species